GGCCCGGCGCGGGGUGCGACUUCCGGGGCGGCGGUUGCAUCAGAUUCUAGGAAGUGUCUGUAGCUGCAGCUGCGGGUCCGGGAUUCCCAGCCAUGGCAGAUUCCUCCGGGCAGCAGGCUCCUGACUACAGGUCCAUUCUGAGCAUUAGUGACGAGGCAGCCAGGGCACAAGCCCUGAACGAGCACCUCAGCACGCGUAGCUAUGUCCAGGGGUACUCACUGUCCCAGGCAGACGUGGACGCGUUCAGGCAGCUCUCGGCCCCGCCCGCUGACCCCCAGCUCUUCCACGUGGCUCGGUGGUUCAGGCACAUAGAAGCGCUCCUGGGUAGCCCCUGUGGCAAAGGCCAGCCCUGCAGGCUCCAAGCAAGCAAAGGCCGGCGUGUGCAGCCCCAGUGGUCCCCUCCUGCUGGGACCCAGCCAUGCAGACUCCACCUUUACAACAGCCUCACCAGGAACAAGGAAGUGUUCAUACCUCAAGAUGGGAAAAAGGUGACGUGGUAUUGCUGUGGGCCAACCGUCUAUGACGCAUCUCACAUGGGGCACGCCAGGUCCUACAUCUCUUUUGAUAUCUUGAGAAGAGUGUUGAAGGAUUACUUCAAAUUUGAUGUCUUUUAUUGCAUGAACAUUACGGAUAUUGAUGACAAGAUCAUCAAGAGGGCCCGGCAGAACCACCUGUUCGAGCAGUAUCGGGAGAAGAGGCCUGAAGGGGCACAGCUCUUGGAGGAUGUUCAGGCCGCCCUGAAGCCAUUUUCAGUAAAAUUAAAUGAGACCACGGAUCCCGAUAAAAAGCAGAUGCUUGAACGGAUUCAGCACGCAGUGCAGCUUGCCAUGGAACCACUUGAGAAAGCUGUGCAGUCCAGACUCACGGGAGAGGAAGUCAACAGCUGUGUGGAGGUGUUGCUGGAAGAAGCCAAGGAUUUGCUCUCUGACUGGCUAGAUUCUACACUUGGCAGUGAUGUGACUGACAAUUCCAUCUUCUCCAAGCUGCCCAAGUUCUGGGAAGGGGAGUUCCACAGAGACAUGGAAGCUCUGAACGUUCUCCCUCCAGAUGUCUUAACCCGGGUUAGUGAGUAUGUGCCAGAAAUCGUGAACUUUGUCCAGAAGAUUGUGGACAACGGUUACGGCUAUGUCUCCAGUGGGUCUGUCUACUUUGAUACAGCGAAGUUUGCUUCUAGCGAGAAGCACUCCUAUGGGAAGCUGGUGCCUGAGGCCGUUGGAGAUCAGAAAGCCCUUCAAGAAGGGGAAGGCGACCUGAGCAUCUCUGCAGACCGCCUGAGUGAGAAGCGCUCUCCCAACGACUUUGCCUUAUGGAAGGCCUCUAAGCCGGGAGAACCGUCCUGGCCGUGCCCUUGGGGAAAGGGUCGCCCGGGCUGGCAUAUCGAGUGCUCGGCCAUGGCAGGCACCCUCCUAGGGGCUUCGAUGGACAUUCACGGAGGUGGGUUUGACCUCCGGUUCCCCCACCAUGACAACGAGCUGGCGCAGUCGGAGGCCUACUUUGAAAAUGACUGCUGGGUCAGGUACUUCCUGCACACAGGCCACCUGACCAUUGCAGGCUGCAAAAUGUCAAAGUCACUAAAAAACUUCAUCACCAUUAAAGAUGCCUUGAAAAAGCACUCAGCACGGCAGUUGCGGCUGGCCUUCCUCAUGCACUCAUGGAAGGAUACCCUGGACUACUCCAGCAACACCAUGGAGUCGGCACUUCAAUAUGAGAAGUUCUUGAAUGAGUUUUUCUUAAAUGUGAAAGAUAUCCUUCGCGCUCCUGUUGACAUCACUGGUCAGUUUGAGAAGUGGGGAGAAGAAGAAGCAGAACUGAAUGAGAACUUUUAUGACAAGAAGACAGCAAUUCACAAAGCCCUCUGUGAUAACGUUGACACCCGCACAGUCAUGGAAGAGAUGCGGGCCUUGGUCAGUCAGUGCAACCUCUAUAUGGCAGCCCGGAAAGCCGUGAGGAAGAGGCCCAACCAGGCUCUGCUGGAGAACAUCGCCCUGUACCUCACUCAUAUGCUGAAGAUCUUUGGGGCCAUAGAAGAGGACAGCUCCCUGGGAUUCCCGGUUGGAGGGCCUGGAACCAGCCUCAGUCUGGAGUCCAUAGUCAUGCCCUACCUUCAGGUGUUGUCAGAAUUCCGAGAAGGAGUGCGGAAGAUUGCCCGAGAGCAAAAAGUCCCUGAGGUUCUGCAGCUCAGCGAUGCCCUGCGGGAUGACAUCCUGCCCGAGCUUGGGGUGCGGUUCGAAGACCAUGAAGGACUGCCCACAGUGGUGAAACUGGUAGACAGAAACACCUUAUUAAAAGAGAGAGAAGAAAAGAGACGGGUUGAAGAGGAGAAGAGGAAGAAGAAAGAGGAGGCGGCCCGGAGGAAACAGGAACAAGAACACUCUGAAUCUGAGGGCUUGGAAGCAAGUUGAGGGCUGGAGGUAUGAGCAGAUGUCGUUCACAGUGUGGAGCCCCAGGUGCUGCUCGCUGGCAGUGACUGUGCCGUGUUGCGUGUUCUAGGCAGCAAAGCUGGCCAAGAUGAAGAUUCCCCCCAGUGAGAUGUUCCUGUCAGAAACCGACAAAUACUCCAAGUUUGAUGAAAAUGUAAGCAUGGUCUGCCCACACACGACACGGAGGGCAAAGAGCUCAGCAAAGGGCAAGCCAAGAAGCUGAAGAAGCUCUUCGAGGCUCAGGAGAAGCUCUACAAGGAAUAUUUGCAGAUGGCCCAGAAUGGAAGCUUCCAGUGAGGGGGCACGGGACUGACUUUUUAAACCAUUGUGGACUAGUGGCUCCUGUCUGCCUCAGUGACAACGCCCCAGUGCUCCAAUCAUGUUUACAGUCACCCUUGGGUCCUAAAUUAAGAGUUGUGUUCAUGUAGGUUCAUGUCGUCGUUGGCUCUGAGACAUUGAUAAUAAAUUUUUCUGAACAGUGA